rnacentral:rRNA from 1 species
GACGAACGCUGGCGGCGUGCCUAAUACAUGCAAGUAGGACGCAGUUGCGAGCGGGUGAGUAACGCGUAGGUACCUACCUAUUAGUGGGGGAUAACUAUUGGAAACGAUAGCUAAUACCGCAUACUAGUAGAUGGACCUGCGUUGUAUUAGCUAGUAGGUAGGGUAAAGGCCUACCUAGGCAAAGAUACAUAGCCGACCUGGUAGGGUGGUCGGCCACACUGGGACUGAGACACAGCCCAGACUCCUACGGGAGGGAGCAGUAGGGAAUCUUCGGCAAUGGGGGGAACGCUGACCGAGCCACGCCGCGGGAGUGAAGAAGGUUUUCGGAUCGGAAAGCUCUGUUGUUAAGGAAGCGGUACUUAACCAGAAAGGGACGGCUAACUACGUGCCAGCAGCCGCGGUAAUAC